AAGUUGGUGUGACUAAAAAACUCAUAGUUGGAUCUUGGAAUUGAGAUGGUGGUUCGCUGCGAGGCAAGUUACUGCCCAUCUCAGCCCCACCUCUGGGUGCUUCCUUAGUGCUCUUAACUGAGUGUCCAGAGCAUUUAUUUUGAAAACAUUAGUGUUCAAAGCAGGGUGGUUGCUAGAAUACUCCAUGAAGGGUACAUCUACACUGCAUGCUUAUUCCAAAGUAAGCUAUUCCAGAAUAGCUUAUUUCAAAAUAGUCCAUCUACACUGCAGGGAAGCCUUAAAAUUAGUCUGAAGCGGACUUCCCUAAUGUAGACGUGCUACUUCAGUUUAGAGCCCCAGGAGGCACUGGGGAGGAAUACCUUAGAAUGGCCCUGAUGAGGGGCUAUUUCAAAAUAGUAUUAGUGGAGCGUUUACACAUGCUUUAUUUUGGAAUAGGCGUUAUUCCUCCUAAAAUGAUGUUUACAGAUUUCAGAAUAAGCUGCCCAUUAACAGAACGGCUGUGUAGACGCUCGCAUUAUUUAGAAAUAAUGCUAAUGAUCUCGAAAUAACAAUGCAGUGUAGAUGCACCUUAAGAAUGGCUAUUAUAUUGGUUUUUGGAACUGGGGCCAUAAUUAAGAAAGAUGUCUGGGGCAUUUAUAUUAUGCUACUGGAGGUGAAAUUCUCAGACCAGCACAAGGUAAAGCAAAGCAAAAGCAUUGCCAGGAAUGUUUUUAUUAAUCAAGAAUGAAACUCAGAGGUUCCAAGAUGACCAGAUAUUGCCAUCGUUCCAACCCUAAACAAUGCCGACUAGUGAUCCAGCAGCAUUAAUCCCAUGACCCUCUAGGCCACGGGUUCCCAAACUGGGGGGCGUGCCUCCGGGGGGGUGAAGAAAUUCCGGGGGGGCGGGUGAGACUACCCAGCCACACACAUCCUCAUCAAUCUCACCCCAAGUUUUGCUGCUAUUUUUUGGGAGGGGGGGCAUGAGGGUUUCUCAAAUAUCAAAAAGGAGGGCGUGAUGGUGAAAAGUUUGGGAACCACUGUAGUAGGCAGCUUGAGGGAAAUGAGUCUUUGAGUUCCC
rnacentral:ncRNA from 1 species